rnacentral:rRNA from 1 species
AUUGAACGCUGGCGGCAGGCCUAACACAUGCAAGUCGAGCGGAUGAAGGGAGCUUGCUCCUUGAUUCAGCGGCGGACUGGUGAGUAAUGCCUAGGAAUCUGCCUGGUAGUGGUGGAUAACGUCCGGAAACGGGCGCUAAUACCGCAUACGUCCUUAGGGAGAAAGUGGGGGAUCUUCGGACCUCACGCUAUCAGAUGAGCCUAGGUCGGAUUAGCUAGUUGGUGGGGUAAAGGCCUACCAAGGCGACGAUCCGUAACUGGUCUGAGAGGAUGAUCAGUCACACUGGAACUGAGACACGGUCCAGACUCCUACGGGAGGCAGCAGUGGGGAAUAUUGGACAAUGGGCGAAAGCCUGAUCCAGCCAUGCCGCGUGUGUGAAGAAGGUCUUCGGAUUGUAAAGCACUUUAAGUUGGGAGGAAGGGCAGUAAGUUAAUACCUUGCUGUUUUGACGUUACCAACAGAAUAAGCACCGGCUAACUUCGUG